UAGGGUAUUGGCCUAACAUGGCUAUGACGGGUAACGGGGAAUUAGAGUUCGAUUCCGGAGAGGGAGCCUGAGAAAUAGCUACCACAUCUAAGGAAGGCAGCAGGCGCGUAAAUUACCCAAUUCUAAAGAAGAGAGGUAGUGACAAGAAAUAACAAUACAAGGCCAUUUCAUGGUUUUGUAAUUGGAAUGAUGGGAAUUUAAAACCUUCCCAAAAUUCAAUUGGAGGGCAAGUCUGGUGCCAGCAGCCGCGGUAAUUCCAGCUCCAAUAGCGUAUAUUAAAAUUGUUGCAGUUAAAACGCUCGUAGUUGAAUUUCAAAGAAUCAAUAUUUUAAGUAAUGCUUUUGGUUCAAGAAUGCUUAGGCAAUACGCAAUGUUUUGCUCUUUGCAUUUCCUUGUCCAAAAUGUGUUCUUAUUAUAAAAAGGAUUCUUUUUAAAAUCUCUUUUGCUUUUACAGUAAUGGAGAUUUUGUUACUUUGAGUAAAUUAGAGUGUUCAAAGCAAACAGUUAAAGCAUUUUACUGCGUUUGAAUACUACAGCAUGGAAUAACAAAAUUGAACAAGUCAGAAUUCUGUUCUUUUUUCUUAUUCUGGCUUAGUUACGAUUAAUAGGAGUAGCUUGGGGGCAUUUGUAUUCAGAUGUCAGAGGUGAAAUUCUUAGAUUUUCUGGAGACAAACAACUGCGAAAGCAUUUGCCUAAAAUAUUUCCAUUAAUCAAGAACGAAA
rnacentral:rRNA from 1 species